rnacentral:tRNA from 1 species
GCCUGGGUGGCUCAGUCGGUUAAGCGUCUAACUUUGGCUCAGGUCAUCUCGUGGUUCGUGGGUUAGAGACCCGUCUCAGGCU